UGAAACAGUAUAUAGUGCUCGAUUUGAGAUGGUUACCGAGUUCUAAUGCAAUAAAGUUAAAAGCAUUGGCAAAUAUAAUAUUAUAGUGUAUUACAUAAUGGCUCCUCUAGAACCAUAUAAUUUUCUUAGAACUAAAUAUAAUUUAACUAGGCUUAAAUUUAAUGACACAUUUUAAUGAAGCUUUCGGAACAAUAUCAAAAAUAAAGCAAAAAGAGCAAUUUUGGGCCCGUUACGUCUUGUAACCGUUUGUUGGCUUAAGCAAUCAUAUAUCCUUAAGCAGACGGAGACGGUGAAUCGAUCAAUGCAAGGCAAUUAUUCCAUGUUUGAAUGCUUUUCG
rnacentral:lncRNA from 1 species